rnacentral:rRNA from 1 species
GACGAACGCUGGCGGCGUGCCUAAUACAUGCAAGUCGAACGAGAGCAACCGGUGCUUGCACUGGUCAAUCUAGUGGCGAACGGGUGAGUAACACGUGGGUAACCUGCCCAUCAGAGGGGAAUAACAUCCGGAAACGGAUGCUAAAACCGCAUAGGUCUUCGAACCGCAUGGUUUGAAGAGGAAAAGAGGCGCAAGCUUCUGCUGAUGGAUGGACCCGCGGUGCAUUAGCUAGUUGGUGAGGUAACGGCUCACCAAGGCCGUGAUGCAUAGCCGACCUGAGAGGGUGAUCGGCCACAUUGGGACUGAGACACGGCCCAAACUCCUACGGGAGGCAGCAGUAGGGAAUCUUCCGCAAUGGACGCAAGUCUGACGGAGCAACGCCGCGUGAGUGAAGAAGGUUUUCGGAUCGUAAAACUCUGUUGUUAGAGAAGAACAAGUGCUAGAGUAACUGUUAGCGCCUUGACGGUAGCUAACCAGAAAGCCACGGCUAACUACGUG